rnacentral:lncRNA from 1 species
GUGCAGACUACUUUAUUAGGAAGUUGUCGAUGUUUUUUCUGGAGGCCUGAUCUGUCUGCUUCACAAAGGCCUGGAGCCAGUCCUUGAAUGGAUCUGAGUGUCAGCAGGCAGGGCAGCUCCUCCCUGCCACUGAGAUGAAGGAGUCCAUCUGGCAGCCAGCUCUCACACCAGCAGUGCUGCAGAACAGCUUUUUAUGUCCCUCAUGGAUUUCCCGUUUCUUAGCAAAGUGCUUGCUGC